rnacentral:rRNA from 1 species
AAUGGGCGCAAGCCUGAUCUAGCCAUGCCGCGUGAGUGAUGAAGGCCUUAGGGUCGUAAAGCUCUUUCGCCAGGGAUGAUAAUGACAGUACCUGGUAAAGAAACCCCGGCUAACUCCGUGCCAGCAGCCGCGGUAAUACGGAGGGGGUUAGCGUUGUUCGGAAUUACUGGGCGUAAAGCGUACGUAGGCGGAUUAGAAAGUUGGGGGUGAAAUCCCGGGGCUCAACCCCGGAACUGCCUCCAAAACUACUAGUCUAGAGUUCGAGAGAGGUGAGUGGAACUCCGAGUGUAGAGGUGAAGUUCGUAGAUAUUCGGAAGAACACCAGUGGCGAAGGCGGCUCACUGGCUCGAUACUGACGCUGAGGUACGAAAGUGUGGGGAGCAAACAGGAUU